rnacentral:rRNA from 1 species
CUGGUUGAUCCUGCCGGAGAUACCGUUAUCAGAAUUCGACUAAGCCAUGCACGGGGAAGAGAUUUGGGCUCGCCGAACUGCUCAGUAACACGUAGCUAACAUGCCCUCAAGCGGGGGAUAAUCUUGGAAAUCUGAGGCUAAUUCCCCAUAGCUGUUGGAUGCUGGAAUGCUUCAACAGUCAAAGCUCCGGCACUUGAGGAUUGGGCUGCGGCCUAUCAUGGCUGUUGUGAGUGUAAAGUACUCACAAACCUUUAACGGGUAGGGGUCAUGAGAGUGGGAGCCUCGAGAUGCCUUCUGAGACAUGAAGGCAGGUCCUACGGGACGCAGCAGGCGCAAAAACUUUCCAAUGGUUUAACGACAGAGAAGGGAAUUCUGAGUGCAUGCAUUUUAUGCAUCU